rnacentral:rRNA from 1 species
UACAGAGGGUGCGAGCGUUGUCCGGAAUCACUGGGCGUAAAGGGCGCGUAGGCGGCUCGGUCAGCGUGCGGUGAAAGCCCGGGGCUCAACCCCGGGUCGGCCGUGCGAACUGCUGGGCUGGAGCACUGUAGAGGCAGGUGGAAUUCCGGGUGUAGCGGUGGAAUGCGUAGAGAUCCGGAAGAACACCGGUGGCGAAGGCGGCCCGCUGGGCAGUGGCUGACGCUGAGGCGCGACAGCGUGGGGAGCAAACAGG